AUAGAUUUAUUUAAAAAAAUGUAACAGGGAUGCAAGUAGUACACUUACAGUAAUUGUCUCAGUGAGCUAUUUUUUGGAAGUAAUUCUGCAUUAUAAUUUUACAGGCAAACCUUAUGUUUUUUUGUUCAUGGCUUUUUAUGUAGCUAAAAAUAAUAACACUUUAUUUUUCUUAUAUUUUUUCUUUUUUCUCAUAAAGCAAGCCAUAGACUUUUACACUUUGUAUCAAAUCAAAACUGACAUUGGCAGCAGUUUUAUAAAAUGACAUAAGCUAGGUAGAAAUAUCAAAUCAGAAUUUUUUAGAGAACUCCAGUCCUAGCUGCCAGGAAAUCCAGAUAACCAGCUACAGUUAUUGAUGAGAGUGAGACACGUUCUCUUUUAUAUGAAUUAAAUUCAGUGUCACAGGGAUUCUACCUUGGUAAUGCUGGCAGUUCCCCACACGAAUUCUUGUGCUCAGAAAUGUCUUUAUCUUUAUUCCUUAGAAAUUGAAAGGCAUAUUCUCUAUUACACAUGUUAAGUAACCUAAAGCCUGAAAAUUCUAUAUAACCCAUAAUGCAGUGUUAUAUAGACCUUAAUCUUAAAUGUAAUGGGGCUAAUGCCCUCAUUUCUUUAUUCUCUCUCUGUUUCUCUUCUGAUUCCACAGCUUUGCAUAUUCGCCAUAGGCUAAAAGACCAUUGACUUUUAAGUCCAAUCCUAUAUCCAUCUGCCUGAUUAAUGUGGUACCCAACAUGUCAAAAACAGGUCUCUUCCUCACCAACUCACCCCUGCCAACCAGAGUUCUUUCUCUGUCUUUUUGUAAUAUUUCCCAUCUCAACAAAUAUAUCAUCCUUCCCCAUUUCUCUCUUUUAUCUCUUACUCACUCCCUAAUUCAAAUUUAGUCCUGUCAUCUGUACCCCAAGACUUUUCCUGAGUUUAUCUACUUUUUUCCAUUCAUUCUCACAACUACCUCGGUAACCAAAGCCUUUGUCAUCUUGUGCCUUGUUGUUCAGUCACUUAGUCAUGUCCCACUCUUGGCAACCCCAUGGACUGCAGCACUCCAGGCUUCCCUGUCCUUCACACUGGUUUUGAAAUAGCCUGCUAAUGGGAGCAAAAAUUUUGAGAAUUCUAAAACACUCUUUCCUUCAGCAGUUAUCUAAAAUUAAGUCAUGCACAUCUGACCACCAUGCAACCUCCAAAUUUCACUGCUGUGAUUGUCUCAGAUUGCAAAAUUGCAUGCUCUGUCUACACGUCAAAUCCUACGUCUGGAGGGGAAUUCAGACUUGACCUGGUCCAGCACAUCCAGAAAACACUGCAUUUGAACUUUCUUAUAACAGAUGGUAUCUCAAACUAUGCUAAAUGACAUCCAUAUAAGAAGAUUAAUUGUAUUAUUAAAGACUUUCUCACAAAGGUUAA